rnacentral:rRNA from 1 species
AGUCGAACGGUAGCACAGAGAGCUUGCUCUCGGGUGACGAGUGGCGGACGGGUGAGUAAUGUCUGGGAAACUGCCUGAUGGAGGGGGAUAACUACUGGAAACGGUAGCUAAUACCGCAUAACGUCGCAAGACCAAAGUGGGGGACCUUCGGGCCUCAUGCCAUCAGAUGUGCCCAGAUGGGAUUAGCUAGUAGGUGGGGUAACGGCUCACCUAGGCGACGAUCCCUAGCUGGUCUGAGAGGAUGACCAGCCACACUGGAACUGAGACACGGUCCAGACUCCUACGGGAGGCAGCAGUGGGGAAUAUUGCACAAUGGGCGCAAGCCUGAUGCAGCCAUGCCGCGUGUAUGAAGAAGGCCUUCGGGUUGUAAAGUACUUUCAGCGAGGAGGAAGGCAUUAAGGUUAAUAACCUUGGUGAUUGACGUUACUCGCAGAAGAAGCACCGGCUAACUCCGUGCCAGCAGCCGCGGUAAUACGGAGGGUGCAAGCGUUAAUCGGAAUUACUGGGCGUAAAGCGCACGCAGGCGGUCUGUCAAGUCGGAUGUGAAAUCCCCGGGCUCAACCUGGGAACUGCAUUCGAAACUGGCAGGCUAGAGUCUUGUAGAGGGGGGUAGAAUUCCAAGUGUAGCGGUGAAAUGCGUAGAUAUUUGGAGGAAUACCAGAGGCGAAGGCGACUCCCUGGGUAAUAACUGACACUGAGGUACGAAAGCUUGGGGAGCAAACAGGAUUAGAUACCCUGGUAGUCCAUGCUGUAAACGAUGUCAAUUUGAAGAUUGUAAUAUUAUUAUUUUUUAUAAUUUUCGUAGCUAACGCAUUAAAUUGACCGCCUGGGGAUUACGACCGCAAGGUUAAAACUCAAAUGAAUUGACGGGGACCCGCACAAGCGGUGGAGCAUGUGGUUUAAUUCGAUACAACGCGAAAAACCUUACCUACUCUUGACAUCUAUAAGUAAUAAAGCAGAAAUGUUUUAGUAUCUGUUUGACAGAAUCUUUAAGACAGGUGCUGCAUGGCUGUCGUCAGCUCGUGUUGUGAAAUGUUGGGUUAAGUCCCUUAACGAGCGCAACCCUUAUUCUUUGUUACCAGCGUAAAGUCGGGGACUCUUAGAAAACUGCCAAUAUAAAUUGGAGGAAGGUGAGGACGACGUCAAGUCAUCAUGGCCUUUAUGAGUAGGGCUACAUACGUGCUACAAUGGUGUAUACAAAAAGAAGCAAAUUUGUAAAAACGAGCAAAUCUAUAAAAUACAUCACAGUCCGGAUUGAAGUCUGCAACUCGACUUCAUGAAGUAGGAAUCGCUAGUAAUCGUGAAUCAGAAUGUCACGGUGAAUACGUUCUCGGGUCUUGUACACACCGCCCGUCACACCAUGGAAGU